rnacentral:rRNA from 1 species
GAUGAACGCUGGCGGCGUGCCUAAUACAUGCAAGUCGAGCGAACGGACGAGAAGCUUGCUUCUCUGAUGUUAGCGGCGGACGGGUGAGUAACACGUGGAUAACCUACCUAUAAGACUGGGAUAACUUCGGGAAACCGGAGCUAAUACCGGAUGAUAUUUUGAACCGCAUGGUUCAAAAGUGAAAGACGGUCUUGCUGUCACUUAUAGAUGGAUCCGCGCUGCAUUAGCUAGUUGGUAAGGUAACGGCUUACCAAGGCAACGAUGCAUAGCCGACCUGAGAGGGUGAUCGGCCACACUGGAACUGAGACAAGGUCCAGAAUCCUACGGGAGGCAGCAGUAGGGAAACUUCCGCAAUGGGCGAAAGCCUGACGGAGCAACGCCGCGUGAGUGAUGAAGGUCUUCGGAUCGUAAAACUCUGUUAUUAGGGAAGAACAUAUGUGUAAGUAACUGUGCACAGCUUGAAGGUACCUAAUCAGAAAGCCACGGCUAACUACGUG